AUUUCUCUUGCCGGUUUAGUUAAUUGUUUUCUUUUUGUUUCUAUUUUAUUUAAUUACUGUUUGAUUAAUUUAAUGUUCUAAUCCUUUGAUCACCUAAUUAUUUUAUUGUUUUCCUCAUUCAUCAUGUCAAGGACUUGGUCUGUUUCUGUUGAAUCAAUUUCCAUUUUUGCUCAACCUUCAAGUUACAUUUGACUUUUUUUUUGCUUGCAGAAAAUUAGUAAUUAAAUUGUGUUGUUUAACUUUUUAAUUAAUUGUCCUCAUCUUAUCAAAUGAUUGAGUGGAUACAGGUUUUCACCAUCAUUUGGAUAUAAUCACGGAUCAACCAGUUGAAUUUUCAAAUGGAUUUACAGAUUUGGAUUAGUGGAAAAGUGUUCAAAUCUUAUCUAUAUGAUUAUCAUUAAGAUUUUCAAACAAUUAUUAAUAUUUGUUAAUCAUCAACAACAAUUAACAUUUGAAGAUCAUCAAAAAGACUCAACUAUCACAUGGAAACAAAUUGACUGUCAGAAAUAUACACAGUUGGAUAUAAAUACAGUUAUAUAAUCUAAUCGAUAUCAAUAUCAAUCUACAAUUUGGGACAAGGACAUAAUCAAUCACGAAACGAAAUGACCUUAUUGGUAAAGCCCUAAUUACAUCGUAACAAUUUAACUUAUCCCUUAAAGCCAAUUUACUAGGAGGAAAAAUGAAUAGAAAUUAGUUUUCACCAUCAAUUGGUCACCAUCAAGAUCGUCUAUUAUUAUUACGCCUGAUUUAACUUAAUUGUAUCAACAUUUACAGUUAAUCACAUUUUCCAUUAUUGAUUAUCUCAUCUUGGUAAAGUCAAACAACUUAAUCGUAUUGCAAAUUGAAUUCAUUACAAUCAAUACAAUCAAAGUAACUAAACUAAAUCUAAUCAACAUCUAUUGUAUUGGUAACAACUUUUCCAAUCAUCAUCAAUGUGAUUAACCAUUUAGACUUAAUCAGUUUCUGUUUACCCUAAAUUUGUAACCCUGUUCACCCAAUCGUAUUGAAAUAUAUAUAUUUAUAUGUAUAUUUACAGUUACAAUUUAUGUACUAUUAUUAUUAUGACAACAAUUAAGCCCUCCCAAAGUUAAUUGUCUAUCAUAUAUCACUAAUACCUCCUUUUAAUUAACUUUCUUGUCUGAUUGUUGGUUACUGGUUGGACAAACUUUGUUAUCACCUCACCUCCAACACUUAAUUUCAUUGAUUGUUAACUUAUUGGAUUGUGAAAUCCACUGAUAAUCAACUAAUCUAUCAAUGAGUAACACUCAUAAUCUAAUACAACUCGAGUCAAUUCACAAAUCAUCUGAUUAAAAUGAACAACAAUCAACGAAGAAAAUUAAAUCUUAAACAUUAUCAUCUGAUUAUCAAUCUUCAUGAUCCAAUGAAUAUUAUUUCAUUUAAUUUCAAAUUCUGAUGAGAAUCUCAUUUAUCCUUAACGAUAAUCAACUAAUUAAACUAACUAUUCAACCUAAUUAACGAUCAAUAACAUUUUUGCAACUAAUUUUUACAUCAACAAUUUAGUUGAUCAUUUAUCUGGAUAGUUGACUGGUUAACACAAACAACAAUUAGUAAAUUCUAGUCACAAUAAUUUAGAUGAUCAAUUUACUAAUUGAAGAAUCAUUUUCGCAUUGGAAACUUAAUCAUUUUACUUUUUAAUUGUUACAAAUCUUAACAGUUAAUUGUUUCUUUUUUUUAUAUAAGUAUUGAUACAAACAUAGAAUUAAGGAAAAUAUAUAUUAACUGAAUUAAUUGUUGGAAUUGAUUUUUUUUUUAAUUUCUUCUCAUUUCCAAUCAAUAGUAACCUCGAUUUGAUAAACAACUUUUUCUAAUAACAAUUAACGAUUAGUUGAUUAUCUUUAUUUCUGAUUCCCUCUCAUAUAUUAUUAAUUAAAUUGUUCAAUUUUCCAAU